rnacentral:rRNA from 1 species
AUACGGAGGGUGCAAGCGUUAAUCGGAAUUACUGGGCGUAAAGGGUUCGUAGGCGGUUAUUUAAGUCAGAUGUGAAAGCCCCGGGCUCAACCUGGGAAUUGCAUCUGAUACUGGGUAACUAGAGUUUACGAGAGGAGUGUGGAAUUUCCGGUGUAGCGGUGAAAUGCAUAGAGAUCGGAAGGAACAUCAGUGGCGAAGGCGGCACUCUGGCUUAAAACUGACGCUGAGGAACGAAAGCGUGGGUAGCAAACAGAAUUAGAAACCCUAGUAGUCC